rnacentral:rRNA from 1 species
GCGUUAUCCGGAUUUAUUGGGUUUAAAGGGUGCGUAGGCGGUUCUUUAAGUCAGGGGUGAAAGACGGUAGCUUAACUAUCGCAGUGCCUUUGAUACUGAAGAACUUGAAUACACUUGAGGUAGGCGGAAUGUGACAAGUAGCGGUGAAAUGCAUAGAUAUGUCACAGAACACCAAUUGCGAAGGCAGCUUACUAAAGUGUCAUUGACGCUGAGGCACGAAAGCGUG